rnacentral:rRNA from 1 species
GUGGGGAAUAUUGGACAAUGGGCGAAAGCCUGAUCCAGCCAUGCCGCGUGUGUGAAGAAGGUCUUCGGAUUGUAAAGCACUUUAAGUUGGGAGGAAGGGCAGUAAGUUAAUACCUUGCUGUUUUGACGUUACCGACAGAAUAAGCACCGGCUAACUUCGUGCCAGCAGCCGCGGUAAUACGAAGGGUGCAAGCGUUAAUCGGAAUUACUGGGCGUAAAGCGCGCGUAGGUGGUUUUGUAAGUUGGAAGUGAAAUCCCCGGGCUCAACCUGGGAACUGCCUCCAAAACUGCAUGACUAGAGUACGGUAGAGGGUAGUGGAAUUUCCUGUGUAGCGGUGAAAUGCGUAGAUAUAGGAAGGAACACCAGUGGCGAAGGCGACUACCUGGACUGAUACUGACACUGAGGUGCGAAAGCGUGGGGAGCAAACAGGAUUAGAUACCCGAGUAGUCC